AGAGUUUGAUUCUGGCUCAGAUUGAACGCUGGCGGCAUGCCUUACACAUGCAAGUCGAACGGUAACGCGGGGCAACCUGGCGACGAGUGGCGAACGGGUGAGUAAUAUAUCGGAACGUGCCCAGUAGUGGGGGAUAGCCCGGCGAAAGCCGGAUUAAUACCGCAUACGACCUACGGGUGAAAGCGGGGGAUCGCAAGACCUCGCGCUACUGGAGCGGCCGAUAUCAGAUUAGGUAGUUGGUGGGGUAAAAGCCUACCAAGCCGACGAUCUGUAGCUGGUCUGAGAGGACGACCAGCCACACUGGGACUGAGACACGGCCCAGACUCCUACGGGAGGCAGCAGUGGGGAAUUUUGGACAAUGGGCGAAAGCCUGAUCCAGCCAUGCCGCGUGCGGGAAGAAGGCCUUCGGGUUGUAAACCGCUUUUGUCAGGGAAGAAAUCUUCUGAGUUAAUACCUCGGGAGGAUGACGGUACCUGAAGAAUAAGCACCGGCUAACUACGUGCCAGCAGCCGCGGUAAUACGUAGGGUGCGAGCGUUAAUCGGAAUUACUGGGCGUAAAGCGUGCGCAGGCGGUCUUGCAAGACAGGUGUGAAAUCCCCGGGCUUAACCUGGGAACUGCACUUGUGACUGCAAGGCUGGAGUACGGCAGAGGGGGAUGGAAUUCCGCGUGUAGCAGUGAAAUGCGUAGAUAUGCGGAGGAACACCGAUGGCGAAGGCAAUCCCCUGGGCCUGUACUGACGCUCAUGCACGAAAGCGNNNNNAGCAAACAGGAUUAGAUA
rnacentral:rRNA from 1 species